UGUUCCCUACGGGGGGCAGCAGUGAGGAAUAUUGGUCAAUGGGCGCGAGCCUGAACCAGCCAAGUCGCGUGAGGGAAGACGGUCCUAUGGAUUGUAAACCUCUUUUGUCGGGGAGCAAAAGACGCCACGCGUGGCGUUCCGAGAGUACCCGAAGAAAAAGCAUCGGCUAACUCCGUGCCAGCAGCCGCGGUAAUACGGAGGAUGCGAGCGUUAUCCGGAUUUAUUGGGUUUAAAGGGUGCGCAGGCGGACGAUCAAGUCAGUGGUAGAAUUGAGAG
rnacentral:rRNA from 1 species